CUUGCACCGGUCUCACUCCUUCCUUCGGCAGAAAGUUCGAAUUACUGAUCUGAGCCGAAACUCCGGCAACGGUGAUGAUGAGUUUUUCCGCUGCAGACCAGACCAGACCACAGCAAGGCUCAUCCAAGUGUGUGCAAGGGAGCUUAUAUGUCCAGCUUAUCAUGAACCAUGUAACACCAUAUCAGCACCAAAUUAUGAACUAUGGACCAUUAUAAACAGAAGCAAUUAAUCCCUGCAAUUGGAUCCAAUACCAAUAUGUCUCAUAUCCAAGGAACUGUUAUUUGUUCCAGAAAAGUAGGUCUGCAACCUAGAGGCCGAAGUGGUGGCCACGACUACAAGGGACUUUCAUAUGUAUCUGAUGUUCCAUUCAUCAUUGUUGACCUGCUAAAUUUUCGAUCUAUUGAUGUUGAUAUAGAAGAUAACAGUGCAUAGAUCCAAGCUGGAUCAAUUCUUGGCAAAGUUUAUGGUGGAGAAUGAUUUUUUUUUUUGUAAUUUUUGUUUGUUUAUGUGUUUUUCUUUUCAUAUUUUCUCCAUAUAUGCACUUGUUAGCAAGUUGCCAAUGUGUGUAUAUGUUGAAAAAUAUAUAAUA